AUCUCAAAUCUUUUUUUUGGUAAACAUUCUAUAUUACCAAUUUUUAUUUUGUACGGAAUACAAAAAUUAAAAAACAGAAUGCAAAAUUAAAAUAAACAGAAUUCAAAUCUAAACUAAAAGGGGAUGAACACAACAGUUAAAACGGAAAACACAACCUAAUCGAACUAAACGCUUGCCACAAAAAAGGCAUGUAAUAAUAACGAGAGACAUAACUUGGUAGAAUUGGCUUGUCCGAUGAUAUGUUCUUAAUGAUUGUGCACAACCAAGAACAGCUUAUGGAAGUCCUCCUAAGACAGACCGAGCUUUAUUCAGUAAGAAAAACUUUCAAAAGUCGCUACUCGCCGUCAAACCUACACAUAAAAAGAAAAACCAAACAACACCACCUAAUGAAAGACAGUCCGGAACAAUCCUAAAUUUUGUCUCUGGAAUGAGUAUGCCCGGCAUGCGCUGCCACCAGAAAAGAGAGGACCGGCUUUCAAGACCAGCAACACUCCUCCUCACACCAUGCAACGGAGAACCCGCGACAAAUCUUCCAAAAUUUGAAACGAAAACUUCUAUGGAAGCUAUCCGAAAACAAAAUCGUCAAAUCCUAAGAGACGCGCUACCGACGACAAACAAGAAAAAAUAAACCGCAUCCUCACCGUUUGAAGAACACCGGCGAACGCUCAAACCAUGCAAGACUGUUCAUCUAAGCCGAGAAGGAGGAGCACCGAAAACACAAUAGAAGAAGAAUCUUUUCCAGUAGCCAAAUUUGACACCAGACUGUGACCUACUCUCUUUAGUUGACCCACAAGAGCCCCUCACCGACUCUAAUUGUGCUUCUCCAAAACUCUGAACAGAGGAGCAUCAGAUCUGAACCGCGGAGACGGAUGCUUAGAACACCGAGAAAGAAAACACAGGAGAAGAAAUAAGAGGAGAGAUGAAGCUGAAGAGAAGCAAAAGGGAGACAUGAAGCGACGAAAAUCCGCCGACUGCCCAAACUUAAUUUCGAACAAGAUUUUCUAAGUCAAGAAUGUUUAAAAAGAAAAAGAAUGUAGUUGGUAUCUCAAAUCUUUUAUUUGAGUGUUUGUGUUAACUUGGUAAAGAAGAAGAGAAAAAAAUGUUUUACACUGUGC
rnacentral:lncRNA from 1 species